rnacentral:tRNA from 1 species
UACACUUUAGUAUAAGAGGUACAGGAAUUUUUGAUAUUCCUAGAGGUAGUUUAAUUCUAUCAAGUGUAA